rnacentral:rRNA from 1 species
AGAGUUUGAUCCUGGCUCAGAACGNNNGCUGGCGGCAUGCUAACACAUGCAAGUCGAACGAGACCUUCGGGUCUAGUGGCGCACGGGUGCGUAACGCGUGGGAAUCUGCCCUUGCCGGAAUAACAGUUAGAAAUGACUGCUAAUACCGGAUGAUGACUUCGGUCCAAAGAUUUAUCGCCCAGGGAUGAGCCCGCGUCGGAUUAGCUAGUUGGUGGGGUAAAAGCUCACCAAGGCGACGAUCCGUAGCUGGCCUGAGAGGAUGAUCAGCCACACUGGGACUGAGACACGGCCCAGACUCCUACGGGAGGCAGCAGUGGGGAAUAUUGGACAAUGGGCGAAAGCCUGAUCCAGCAAUGCCGCGUGAGUGAUGAAGGCCUUAGGGUUGUAAAGCUCUUUUACCCGGGAAGAUAAUGACUGUACCGGGAGAAUAAGCCCCGGCUACUCCGUGCCAGCAGCCGCGGUAAUACGGAGGGGGCUAGCGUUGUUCGGAAUUACUGGGCGUAAAGCGCACGUAGGCGGCUUUGUAAGUUAGAGGUGAAAGCCCAGGGCUUAACCCUGGAAUUGCCUUUAAGACUGCAUCGCUAGAAUUGUGGAGAGGUAAGUGGAAUUCCGAGUGUAGAGGUGAAAUUCGUAGAUAUUCGGAAGAACACCAGUGGCGAAGGCGACUUACUGGACACAUAUUGCGCUGAGGNNCGAAAGCGUGGGGAGCAAACAGGAUUAGAUACCCUAGUAGUCC